GGUUGUGGCUCAGCGGUAGAAUACCUGCCUCGAAUGUGCGGGGUCCUGAGUUCAAUCCUUAGCACCA
rnacentral:tRNA from 1 species